GACGAACGCUGGCGGCGUGCUUAACACAUGCAAGUCGAACGGAAAGGCCCUGCUUUUGUUGGGUGCUCGAGUGGCGAACGGGUGAGUAACACGUGAGUAACCUGCCCUUGACUUUGGGAUAACUUCAGGAAACUGGGGCUAAUACCGGAUAGGAGCUCCUGCUGCAUGGUGGGGGUUGGAAAGUUUCGGCGGUUGGGGAUGGACUCGAGGCUUAUCAGCUUGUUGGUGGGGUAGUGGCUUACCAAGGCUUUGACGGGUAGCCGGCCUGAGAGGGUGACCGGCCACAUUGGGACUGAGAUACGGCCCAGACUCCUACGGGAGGCAGCAGUGGGGAAUAUUGCACAAUGGGCGGAAGCCUGAUGCAGCAACGCCGCGUGCGGGAUGACGGCCUUCGGGUUGUAAACCGCUUUCGCCUGUGACGAAGCGUGAGUGACGGUAAUGGGUAAAGAAGCACCGGCUAACUACGUG
rnacentral:rRNA from 1 species